GCUUUGUCCCAUGGAUGCCGACCACCUCAUGGUGUUCAAGACCAUGCUCGCCGUCAGGUGGUAGUCCCGGCGAGCGAGAUCUCCCCACUCCAGGCUCUCUCCCAUCGCUCGCUGCCGCCUCAUGUUGUUUGCGGCCGUGCUCGCCAACCGCGGCACGGAGGCGUCGAUCCGACCGGGAGCCCUUCGCAAUGGACAAAGCCUUCCUCCUCUCCGGCAAUGAGGGCAUCGUCGGCUCGUCGCUAACGUGAGCACGUGGCAGACCCUGCUGCCCCCAUCCUUCUUCAUCUUCACUAAAUCUAGAUACUGACGAGAAGAACCAAAUGGGACUCCCUUCUGGAAGGUCAUCAGCUUCAAGUGCGGCUUCGCUGCAUCAGCGCCAACCGCAAUCAGACAUUCAUAGUCAUGAGUACCAUCAGCUUUCUCUUUUGCUUAUGUUAGCCAGCCUGACUUCUAUUUUCCACCCCCUUGUAUGUCUGGUGGACACGCAGAUGGCCAAACCAGAGUACCAGGCUAUGGAGACCGGACGAGAGUCCAAGGAGACCACCCCGCGAUUCGUCAACGUCUCCGGGAUGGCGAAGCCGCAACCCGACGCCUCCCUGUCCUUUUUGUUACCUCCGGACGCCGCUGCCGAGGGGCUGCAUGACAUGAUUCUGAAUGCUCGCGACGACCUUGAUGUUUUAUCUCCGUGGUCGGUGGGGGCGUCGGCGUGUGGUGUAGGCAGAUGAGGGAGGCGACGAUGUUCUUCUGUGGUGACCCAUCGACGCCGCAGUGGGUCGACCAACACCAUCACCACAUGGAGAUUCACAGGGCUCUCUUCUGAAGCAGCUAGCAAACAAGAGUAUCAGUGGUGGUGUAGCUGUUGUUCUAGCUGAAACGAACAAGUAAGAGAUGGAGAUGGACAUAGCAAAGCUAGAAGUUGGCUUCAUGGGAACAUCUGUAAUAUGUAGGAGUGACGCUCCUCUAAUUCUAGCAGACUUGAGGAAGCCUCGACAAACCUGAAGUUUGAACGUAUGACAGAUGACAUCUUGGUUACUUUUGUGGAUGGACAUCUUGGUCGCUUUUGUGGUUGGCUUUUGUGGAUGCGUGAAGCUACAAUUGUAGUUGUGUAAGAUUUAUGUGCAUAACUAUGUGGGUUGCAUCAGCUCUCCGUACUAUGUAUAUACCUCCCGCGUAGCUGCCUACCUAUCCCUAACUUGCGACCCAUAAACGUAGACUUCGAUCCUAUAAUCUUAUUUGGGAUCAGUUUCAGGCUGUAAUAGCCCUGACCGUCUUACUAUGGAACACGUUAAAGUAUGGUCU